AUGGGAUGUCAUGGAUGAAGAAAGAAUAAACAAUUAAAACAGGGACAACACAACUACAUAGUUGUGUUGUCCCUGUUUUAAUUGUUUAUUCUUUCUUCAUCCAUGACUUAAACCAACA
rnacentral:pre_miRNA from 1 species